rnacentral:rRNA from 1 species
AACGAACGCUGGCGGCAGGCUUAACACAUGCAAGUCGAACGCCCCGCAUGGGGAGUGGCAGACGGGUGAGUAACGCGUGGGAAUCUACCCAGAAUUUCGGAACAACUGAGGGAAACUUCAGCUAAUACCGGAUACGCCCUACGGGGGAAAGAUUUAUCGGUUUUGGAUGAGCCCGCGUUGGAUUAGCUAGUUGGUGAGGUAAUGGCUCACCAAGGCGACGAUCCAUAGCUGGUCUGAGAGGAUGAUCAGCCACACUGGGACUGAGACACGGCCCAGACUCCUACGGGAGGCAGCAGUGGGGAAUAUUGGACAAUGGGCGAAAGCCUGAUCCAGCCAUGCCGCGUGAGUGAUGAAGGCCUUAGGGUUGUAAAGCUCUUUCAGUGGGGAAGAUAAUGACGGUACCCACAGAAGAAGCCCCGGCUAACUUCGUGCCAGCCGCCGCGGUAA